rnacentral:rRNA from 1 species
UACGUAGGGGGCAAGCGUUGUCCGGAUUUAUUGGGCGUAAAGCGCACGCAGGCGGUCUUUUACGUUUUGGGUGACAGGUGUCAGCUUAACUGAGACAGGCCUUGAAAUACGGGAAGACUUGAGGACGAGAGAGGGAUGCGGAAUUCCAGGUGGAGCGGUGAAAUGCGUAGAGAUCUGGAAGAACACCAAAGGCGAAGGCAGCAUCCUGGCUCGUAUCUGACGCUCAUGUGCGAAAGCUAGGGGAGCGAACGGG